CCCUUCUUGUAAGUAUGGGGAUCACCCUCUGUGUCCACACAGGUGAUCUCCUCACUAGAACCCCUUGAUGGUCCCAGGCACCAGUGGCCACUCUCCUUUGUUCUCUAUUCUUUCCUGUGGUUCCAUCACCAUUAUGGGAACUUUCAUGUCUCUUUUUCUGCAUGUGUCUGUGGCUAUAUAUUUCAGAAUAUUGUAAGUAGGAUUUCUCAGUGUUAGGAGCAGAUGAGAGUUCUUGGCUGGGCACAUCAACUAUCCACUUGACUGUGGAGUCUGAUCCCAUGAUCUCUUCCUGUCCUAACCCACUCAUGUCUUAAUCUUGCCUGGACAGUGAUUGAUCACUCCCAUGAACUCAUCACCACUGACCACCCAAAUCACUCUGAGGAGUGGGGUUCACGACAGUGUGCUGCAGAUGAGGAAAGUGAGGUUCAGAGAUUGAGCAUUAAUUCUCAAGGUCACAUGGGUAGUGGAUGAUGGAGGAAUAUUUAUAUAAGAAACAGAUUUGCCCACAAAUUCAGAGCACUAACCCACUCACAGGCUCAUAAAGCUGAAGAAACGACUGCAGGAUCAGGAGGGGAGCUCUGCACAAGAAAACCAGGGGUGCCAAGGGGGCAGUAAUGACUCAGAGGUUUCUUCCCAGAGACAGCUGGGGGUGGAUGCUGUUGAAAGAAAAAAAGAGAAGUCUGUAAAGGGGGCUGUGAUAGAAAGAAACCCCACACUCUGGAACUAGGAGAAGAGUGAUGUUUCCUUCCCUUAUUUCCCUGUAUUUCUCCUUUGUACUCAUUGUCACAAUGACCUCGACCUGAAAAUUGAGCGUGUGUCUCUGCUGAUCUGAGCUCUGCAGUGCACCAGGAACCUGCAUCUUCCCCGCGGCAUCUCCAGGGCCAGGAUGACCACUGUCCGUGGUGAGGACACAAUAGCAAUGUUCUGAUGGAUGGGCUGAGGAUGAAGGAGGCCCCAUGGGGUCAGCUCUGAGAGGGAAGGACAUGCCCGAGGUCUCCCUCAUCUGGAAGAGGCAUCACAGGAAGACACCACAUCUACUUGCUGCUAAAACUUGGCCCUUGGUGACAUGAGUCCAGAUCAGGCAGACAGUGGCUGGAGGUGAGAGGAGAACUCGUUUUUGUCUGAAAUGUUUCCAGAGAACCCAGUCCAUGCCUCUGCCCCAGCCCUGCUAAAACAAGAGCUAGGCUCUGGGAGAGGACAGUUCCCCUUCCUGUGUGGCUGCUGCAAUGACUGUGACUGGAAGGACCAGCCUCCUAGUGCCACACCCUGUGCAUCUCUCAGUCCUUCUGAGCACUGUGGUCUCCUCCAUCUGCACAACUUGGACCAGAGGUGGGAGACGUCAUGAUCCCCACUCUCACGGCCCUGCUCUACCUUGGGACCCUCCCCAAACCCACUGUCUGGGCUGAGCCAGGCUCUGUGAUCCCCUGGGGGAGGACCAUGACCAUCUGGUGUCAGGGGAUUCUGGAGGCCCAGUAGUACUGUCUGGAUAAAGAGAGAAGCUCAUCACCCUGGGACCGACAGAAACCAUGGGAGCCCAGGCACGAGGCCAAGUUCUCCAUCCCAUACAUGACAGAGCAACAUGCAGGGCGAUAUCGCUGUUACUAUAUGAGCCAUAUUGGCUUCUCAACACUCAGUGACCCCUAGAGCUGGUGGUGACAGGUAAGAGGACACUCAGGGGUCCCAGUCUCAGACUCUGUCCUCAGGAAGGGAGUCUGCUCUCAUGAGUGUCUCCCUUCUCACAACCCAGCCCUGGAAGAUAUGAGGGAGGUGUGAGCCCCAUUUUGCAUGCUGCUUCCUCCUCUCCUAGGAGCAUACAGCAAACCCUCCCUCUCAGCCCUGCCAAGCCCUGUGGUGACAACAGGUGAGAACGUGGCCCUACAGUGUGGCUCAUGGCUGGGAUUUGACAGGUUCAUUCUGACUAAGGAAGGAGAACACCAGCCCUCCUGGACCCUGGACUCACAGCUAAACCUCAAUGGGUAUUUCCAGGCUCUGUUCCCUGUGGACCCCAUGACCCAUAGUCAAAAUUGGACAUUCAGGUGCUAUGGCUGUUACAGGAACAAACCCCAGGUGUGGUCAGACCCCAGUGAGCCCCUGGAGCUCCUGGUCCCAGGUGAGGAAGUCCUUUCCUGGCCCCAACCAUGUUUUGAGACAUCAGACUGAUUAUUUGUGUCUUUAUUCUCAGGAAAUUGCCUUGUGAGAGGUGGUAUGAGGGAAGCACGGGGAUCCAGGGCCAGAGACACAGAGGGUGAGAGACAGUGAGACCUGGGGUCCAGGAUGUACAAGGGGGUUUAUGGGAGGAAUCAGCCACUGCAAUUCACAGGUGGUCUUUCUCCUAGGUGUGUCUGGGAAUCCCUCCCUUCUGACUUAGUAGGGCUCUGUUGUGGCCUCUGGACAGAACCUGACCCUCCAGUGUCUCUCUGACGUUGGAAAGGUCAGAUUUGCUCUGUAAAAGGAGGGGCUACAUGGUCUCCCACUGUGCCUGGGUCUGCAUCCCCAAGGAGGUAUCUCUCAAGUUGACUUUCCACUGGUCCCUGUGAGACUCUCCCACAGGGCCAGUACAGAUGCUAUGGUGAACACAACCUCUCCUCCAAGUGGUCAGCCCCAAGUGACCCCCCCGGACCUCCUGGUGGAAGAUCAAGAGACAGCGGGUCAGUCAGGGACUCCAGAAGUGCACAGGCCCUGUAGGGGAGCCCCAGGUGGUGAUGUCAGGAAGAAGCGUGUGUGGUCUCCAGAGAGGAAGAGAGACAGAGAGACAGGGAAUUGAUGGGAGGAGACUCAGAGAAAACAAGACAGACAGAGAUGAGGGUCCUCAGAGAGAGAGGCCUGGGGACUCUCAGUUCAGAACAAGGUGGGUGGGCAGCCCCUCACCCACUCUUCCGCUCUCUAGGACAGCUCCCUGACAUACCCUCCCUCUUGUGAGGCCGGGCCCCACAGUGACCUCAGAAGAAAACAUGACCCUGGUGUGUCAGUCACGGAGCUUGAGGGGCACUUUCUUUCUAUCCAAGGAGGGAUCAUCUGAUCCCCCCCUGCGUCUUAGAUCAAAUACCAACCUCAGCAGUACCAGGCACAAUUCUCCAUGAGUCUUGUGACGUCAGCCCACAGGGGGACCUACAGGUGUUAUAGCUCAUGCAGCACUUCCCCCUACCUGUUGUCACACCCACAUGACUCCCUGGAGCUCUUGGUCUCAGGUGAGGGGCCCCUGUCCCUAUCCUUUCUGAGCUCAGUCAGCUCAGGGCUCUGUCCUCAGGAAAUCUGAGACAGUAAUAAAUGAGGGGCACAGGGGAAUCUCCAGAGAAGGGGAUGUUCAGGAGCCCCUGACUCCAACCUCCAAACCAUGAACUCUGUUGCCUCAGCUGUUCAGUAAGGGGGGCUCUCAGCUGUAGGGGAAAAAUUACGCAUUCUUAUAUCUAAGACUGAGCAGAGGAUGCACAACACUCAUUAUUUCUGUGUUGGGAGACCUAAUCCAUAUUUCAACCUAAUCGUUAGCUCUUGGGACACAGCCAUACUCUUCCAAAGCGACUCAGAUGCAGGUUCUGAAUUCAAAGAACAGGGACGCUGAGGGAAUUCCACCGAGGAGACCAGAGGGAACCUGGUGAAAGGAAAGACGGGUUCAUUAAGGGAUUAUAUAAAAGUUCAGAUAUGAGAAGUGGGGAAUAUGAGAGCAAAGAACCCAGGAAAAAGGUUUGUAUCUACCCAACUCUUCAUUCACUCCUUCAUUUUAUGAUUCUCAGAAGUAGCUGAUGCCAUCAGUUCAUCACGAAACAAGUCAGACCCCAAGAGUGCCUCACACCCCCAAGACUACACAGUGGAGAAUCUCAUCCGGACGGGCAUGGCUGGUUUGAUCCUGGUGGUCCUUGGGAUUCUGCUAUUUCAGCCUUGGCACAGACAGACAAGGACCCAAGAUGCAGCCAGAGGUAAACACAAGAGAGAACAAUGCACUGUUCAGAAGGGCAGAACCUUGGAAAUGCAUCUUACAUGUCGAGGAGUUUCUCGGAGAAAAUCUGCAGCAUAUGUUGGUUGAACUGUCUUUGAGGAUCUCGAUGGAGUAAAUGUGGUUUGGGUACAGGAAAAUGUCUAGGUGUUCCCAGUCUGGCAGUUCCUUGACUGCCCUCCCGUCUUUUCUCACUACUGAAACAUGGGGUACGUCUCUCACCUUUAUCCACCUUCAUGUUCUGGUCCACUGUCUUGUAACACAUUUUUCUUUAUUUUUAAAUUCCGCAUUCACUGACGUGUGCUCUUGACCUGCAUCUCUUCAGCCCAGAAACAGAAUACUGUUUAAAUACCUGAAUAAAUGGGUGAAUAUCAAGUCCUGUUUGAAACAGAUAAAAACAAACCCAUUUACUAAAAUCCCCUCUAGACCUGUCAAACCCUUCUCUUUCUAUCAGAUGAUACCUGGUAUAGUUUCUUUAGGAAUACCACCAGUUUGAAUGAAUGUACUGGUGUUUGAAGAGACAGCUUGGUGGUGAGCUGGUAAACCAGCUUUAUUAAAAAGUCAUUUUCCCAAAAGCA